AUGGCAACAAAAGGAAAAGAUAGAGCAGCGAUGUUCACGGCAACGGAACAGCAUUUGCUAUUGGAAACAUAUGAAGAAUUUAAAGAUGUCAUCACCAAAAAAGGCAAUACAGCGGCAAUAAAUAAACCAAGAGAGAAAGGUUGGCAGGAAAUUGCUGAUCUUCUCAAUGCCAACUUAAGUGAAGGAAAAAGAACCUGGCAGCAGGUGAAAAUAAAAUACAAAAAUAUAGUUCAGAACGCGACCAAAAAGAAGACUGAGGUUGCAGGCACUGGGGGAGGGCCACCACCAGCCAGCUUCACUCCUGCAGAGGAGCUGGCUUUGGAAAUUAAUAAGGGAGGCCCGUCCUUGAGGGAAUAGACGGGGGGACAUCAUCUAAAAUGAUAUCACGUAGUAUAAGGAGUGAGUAUAUAAAAGGUGUGUGUGUGUGUGUGUUUUAUUAUCAUUAUUCCUUCCUGACUAACUGAUUUCCUCCUUCCU
ensembl:lncRNA